rnacentral:rRNA from 1 species
UCGUAACAAGGUCUCCGUAGGUGAACCUGCGGAGGGAUCAUUACACAAUAAACAUAUGAAGGCUGCACCGCCAACAGGCGGCAAGGCUGGAGUAUUUUAUUACCCUUGUCUUUUGCGCACUUGUUGUUUCCUGGGCGGGUUCGCCCGCCUCCAGGACCACAUGAUAAACCUUUUUUAUGCAGUUGCAAUCAGCGUCAGUACAACAAAUGUAAAUCAUUUACAACUUUCAACAACGGAUCUCUUGGUUCUGGCAUCGAUGAAGAACGCAGCGAAAUGCGAUACGUAGUGUGAAUUGCAGAAUUCAGUGAAUCAUCGAAUCUUUGAACGCACAUUGCGCCCUUUGGUAUUCCAAAGGGCAUGCCUGUUCGAGCGUCAUUUGUACCCUCAAGCUUUGCUUGGUGUUGGGCGUUUUUUGUCUUUGGUUUUGUCCAAAGACUCGCCUUAAAACGAUUGGCAGCCGGCCUACUGGUUUCGCAGCGCAGCACAUUUUUGCGCUUGCAAUCAGCAAAAGAGGACGGCACUCCAUCAAGACUCUAUAUCACUUUUGACCUCGGAUCAGGUAGGGAUACCCGCUGAACUUAAGCAUAUCAAU